GCGAAAACAGUAUGAAAGAACUAGGUGUGCGACAAGUAGGGCGGGACACGUGAAAUCCUGUCUGAAGAUGGGGGGACCAUCCUCCAAGGCUAAAUACUCGUGAUCGACCGAUAGUGAACCAGUACCGUGAGGGAAAGGCGAAAAGAACCCCGGGAGGGGAGUGAAAUAGAUCCUGAAACCGCAUGCAUACAAACAGUCGGAGCCUCGUAAGGGGUGACGGCGUACCUUUUGUAUAAUGGGUCAGCGACUUACGUUCAGUAGCAAGCUUAACCGUAUAGGGCAGGCGUAGCGAAAGCGAGUCCGAAUAGGGCGUUCAGUUGCUGGGCGUAGACCCGAAACCAGGUGAUCUAUCCAUGGCCAGGAUGAAGGUGCGGUAACACGUACUGGAGGUCCGAACCCACUAACGUUGAAAAGUUAGGGGAUGAGCUGUGGAUAGGGGUGAAAGGCUAAACAAACCUGGAAAUAGCUGGUUCUCUCCGAAAACUAUUUAGGUAGUGCCUCGUGUCUCACCUUCGGGGGUAGAGCACUGUCAUGGUUGGGGGGUCUAUUGCAGAUUACCCCGCCAUAGCAAACUCCGAAUACCGAAGAGUGCAAUCACGGGAGACAGACAUCGGGUGCUAACGUCCGGUGUCAAGAGGGAAACAACCCAGACCGCCAGCUAAGGUCCCCAAAUAUAGCUAAGUGGGAAACGAAGUGGGAAGGCUAAAACAGUCAGGAGGUUGGCUUAGAAGCAGCCACCCUUUAAAGAAAGCGUAAUAGCUCACUGAUCGAGUCGUCCUGCGCGGAAGAUGUAACGGGGCUAAGCUAUAUACCGAAGCUGCGGAUGCGUGCUUGCACGCAUGGUAGGAGAGCGUUCCGUAAGCCUGCGAAGGUGCCUUGUAAAGGGUGCUGGAGGUAUCGGAAGUGCGAAUGCUGACAUGAGUAGCGAUAAAGGGGGUGAAAGGCCCCCUCGCCGUAAGCCCAAGGUUUCCUACGCAACGUUCAUCGGCGUAGGGUGAGUCGGCCCCUAAGGCGAGGCAGAAAUGCGUAGCUGAUGGGAAGCAGGUCAAUAUUCCUGCACCAUUGUUAGAUGCGAUGGGGGGACGGAUCGCGGAAGGUUGUCCGGGUGUUGGAAGUCCCGGUCGCUGCAUUGGAGAAGGCGCUUAGGCAAAUCCGGGCGCGUAAUUCAAGGGUGUGGCGCGAGCUCCUUAGGGAGCGAAGCAAUUGGAAGUGGUUCCAAGAAAAGCCUCUAAGCUUCAGUCUAACGAUGACCGUACCGCAAACCGACACAGGUGGGCGAGAUGAGUAUUCUAAGGCGCUUGAGAGAACUCGGGAGAAGGAACUCGGCAAAUUGGUACCGUAACUUCGGGAUAAGGUACGCCCUUGUAGCUUGACCAGCCUGCGCUGGAAGGGUGAAGGGGUUGCAAUAAACUGGUGGCUGCGACUGUUUAAUAAAAACACAGCACUCUGCAAACACGAAAGUGGACGUAUAGGGUGUGACGCCUGCCCGGUGCCGGAAGAUUAAAUGAUGGGGUGCAAGCUCUUGAUUGAAGUCCCGGUAAACGGCGGCCGUAACUAUAACGGUCCUAAGGUAGCGAAAUUCCUUGUCGGGUAAGUUCCGACCUGCACGAAUGGCGUAACGAUGGCCACACUGUCUCCUCCCGAGACUCAGCGAAGUUGAAGUGUUUGUGAUGAUGCAAUCUACCCGCGGCUAGACGGAAAGACCCCAUGAACCUUUACUGUAGCUUUGCAUUGGACUUUGAACCGAUCUGUGUAGGAUAGGUGGGAGGCUAUGAAACCGGAACGCUAGUUUCGGUGGAGCCGUCCUUGAAAUACCACCCUGGUUUGUUUGAGGUUCUAACCUUGGCCCGUGAUCCGGGUCGGGGACAGUGCAUGGUAGGCAGUUUGACUGGGGCGGUCUCCUCCCAAAGCGUAACGGAGGAGUACGAAGGUACGCUAGGUACGGUCGGAAAUCGUGCUGAUAGUGCAAUGGCAUAAGCGUGCUUAACUGCGAGACCGACAAGUCGAGCAGGUGCGAAAGCAGGUCAUAGUGAUCCGGUGGUUCUGUAUGGAAGGGCCAUCGCUCAACGGAUAAAAGGUACUCUGGGGAUAACAGGCUGAUACCGCCCAAGAGUUCAUAUCGACGGCGGUGUUUGGCACCUCGAUGUCGGCUCAUCUCAUCCUGGGGCUGUAGCCGGUCCCAAGGGUAUGGCUGUUCGCCAUUUAAAGAGGUACGUGAGCUGGGUUUAAAACGUCGUGAGACAGUUUGGUCCCUAUCUGCCGUGGGCGUUGGAUAUUUGAAGGGGGCUGCUCCUAGUACGAGAGGACCGGAGUGGACGAACCUCUGGUGUACCGGUUGUCACGCCAGUGGCAUCGCCGGGUAGCUAUGUUCGGAAGAGAUAACCGCUGAAAGCAUCUAAGCGGGAAACUCGCCUUAAGAUGAGAUAUCCCUGGGGACUAGAUCCCCUUGAAGGGUCGUUCGAGACCAGGACGUUGAUAGGUCAGGUGUGUAAGCGCAGUAAUGCGUUCAGCUAACUGAUACUAAUUGCCCGUAAGGCUUGAUCCUAUAACA
rnacentral:rRNA from 1 species